rnacentral:rRNA from 1 species
UACAGGGGGGGCAAGCGUUAUUCGGAAUUAUUGGGCGUAAAGGGCGCGUAGGCGGAUUGUUAAGCAAGAUGUGAAAUCCCCGGGCUUAACCUGGGAAUGGCAUUUUGAACUGGCAGUCUAGAGUGUGUCAGAGGGGGGUGGAAUUCCACGUGUAGCAGUGAAAUGCGUAGAUAUGUGGAGGAACACCAAUGGCGAAGGCAGCCCCCUGGGAUAACACUGACGCUCAUGUACGAAAGCGUGGGUAGCAAACAGG